GGUCGUCCGAGUACCUCACGUGAUCCCUAAGGGGUUUCUAUAGAAACGCUUCUCUGCGGUCCAGUCUGGGAGGUCUUAGGUUGGCGGCGAUGGGCACUGGGGGCGGGUGGCCUUGGCUUUUGCUGCUGCCGCCGCCGCCGCCAACGACCCGUCAUCCGGGUCCUGCGUAGGGUCCGGCCGGCCCGGACUUGCCUAUGAGGUGGGAUGGACUGGUUGUCAGACCAAGUCCCCUGCAGCUGACAGGAGUAGGGAGGAGUGAUGCACGCCCCGGCGCCCAGCAUCGUUCUAGUUCUCAGAGACGUCGCUUCGGACCGUGCGCUGCUCGUGGCUGCGUGCCUGAGCCGGGAGCCCCUUUCCCGGGGUUGGAGCUACGCUGCGCGGCCGGCGGGAGGUCCCCAAGGACAGAGUCGAAAGGUCAUAUCUUCUCUGUCAGUGCUGUGUGACAGCACCGCGAAGGCACCUGCAGAACCUGAACUAGAUCCGUAAUGCCUCCUGUCUGGCUCUUUCAAGAUGGAGGGAGAGCCUACUCAAGUGCUAUCUAAAUUCAAACUUCCCACCAAGGUGGAAAGCGCAGGACCCUGGCUGGUGGAAGAUCAUGCUCGAAUAUGGGAAGUUUUAAAGACAGAGGAGAGCUCGAUUCAGGACUGGGGUGAAGAGGUAGAGGAAGGAGCUGUUUACCAUGUCACCCUGAAAAGAGUCCAGAUUCAACAGGCUGCCAAUAAAGGAGCAAGAUGGCUAGGGGUGGAAGGGGACCAGCUGCCUCCAGGACAUACAGUCAGUCAGUAUGAGACCUGUAAGAUCAGGACCAUAAAAGCUGGUACCUUGGAGAAGCUGGUGGAGAAUCUGCUGACAGCUUUUGGGGACAAUGACUUCACCUACAUCAGCAUCUUCCUGUCAACGUACAGAGGCUUUGCCUCCACUAAAGAAGUGCUGGAACUGCUGCUGGACAGGUAUGGAAACCUGACGAGCCCAAACUGUGAAGAAGAUGGAAGCCAGAGCUCCUCGGAGUCCAAGACUGUGAUCAGGAACGCAAUCGCCUCCAUCCUGAGGGCCUGGCUUGACCAAUGCGCAGAAGACUUCCGAGAGCCCCCUCACUUCCCUUGCUUACAGAAACUGCUGGAUUAUCUCAAACAGAUGAUGCCAGGCUCUGACCCGGAGAGAAGAGCACAAAAUCUGCUGGAGCAGUUUCACAAGCAAGAAGUCGAAACUGACAAUGGGUUUCCCAGCACCAGCUCCGUCAGCCUGGAAGAGGAAGAGGAACUGGAAGGUGGAGUGUCCGCAGAGUUCACGUGCUUCUCAGAAGACCUCGUGGCAGAGCAGCUGACCUAUAUGGAUGCACAACUGUUCAAGAAAGUGGUGCCCCACCACUGCCUGGGCUGCAUUUGGUCUCAGAGGGAUAAGAAGGAAAACAAACAUUUGGCUCCUACUAUCCGCGCUACCAUCUCUCAAUUUAAUACCCUCACCAAAUGCGUUGUCAGCACCAUUCUGGGAGGCAAAGAACUCAAAACUCAGCAGAGAGCCAGAAUCAUCGAGAAGUGGAUUAACAUCGCUCACGAAUGUAGAAUCCUGAAGAAUUUUUCCUCCUUGAGGGCCAUCGUGUCGGCGCUGCAGUCCAAUUCCAUCUAUCGCUUAAAGAAGACUUGGGCUGCGGUCCCCAAGGACCGAAUGCUGAUGUUUGAAGAACUCUCAGAUAUCUUCUCGGACCAUAAUAACCAUCUGACCAGCCGGGAACUCCUGAUGAAGGAAGGAACCUCAAAAUUUGCAAACCUGGACAGCAGUGUGAAAGAAAACCAGAAGCGGACUCAGCGGCGGCUCCAGCUCCAGAAGGAUAUGGGUGUGAUGCAGGGCACUGUGCCCUACCUGGGCACCUUCCUGACUGACCUGACCAUGCUCGACACUGCUCUCCAGGACUACAUUGAGGGUGGGCUGAUUAAUUUUGAGAAGAGGAGGAGGGAAUUUGAAGUGAUUGCCCAAAUAAAGCUCUUACAAUCUGCCUGCAACAGCUAUUGUAUGACCCCAGACCAAAAGUUCAUCCAGUGGUUCCAGAGGCAGCAGCUUUUAACAGAGGAGGAGAGCUACGCCCUCUCCUGUGAGAUUGAAGCUGCCCCCGAUGCCAGCGCCACCUCGCCCAAGCCUCGGAAGAGCAUGGUGAAGAGGCUCAGCCUACUGUUUCUGGGGUCGGACAUUAUCGCCAGUAGCACUCCCGCCAAGGAGCAGCCCAAGUCCACGGCCAGUGGGAGCUCUGGCGAAAGCAUGGACUCCGUCAGCGUGUCAUCGUGCGAGUCAAACCACUCAGAGGCUGAGGAGGGCUCUAUCACUCCCAUGGACACACCUGAUGAGCCUCAAAAAAAAGCUCUCCUAGUCCUCCUCCUCGUGCUCCUCUAUCCACUCCAUGGACACAAAUUCCUCAGGGAUGUCGUCCUUAAUCAACCCUCUCUCCUCCCCUCCAUCCUGCAACAACAACCCUAAAAUCCACAAGCGCUCCGCCUCGGUGACGUCCAUUACCUCGACAGUGCUGCCUCCCGUUUACAACCAACAGAACGAGGACACCUGCAUCAUCCGCAUCAGCGUGGAGGACAACAACGGCAACAUGUACAAGAGCAUCAUGUUGACGAGUCAGGACAAAACCCCCGCCGUGAUCCAGAGGGCGAUGCUGAAGCACAACCUGGACUCGGACCCAGCCGAGGAGUACGAGCUGGUGCAGGUCAUCUCGGAGGACAAAGAACUCGUGAUCCCAGACUCGGCAAAUGUCUUUUAUGCCAUGAACAGCCAAGUGAACUUUGACUUCAUUUUACGCAAAAAGAACGCCAUGGAAGAACAAGUGAAACUGCGUAGCCGGACCAGCCUGACCUUGCCCAGGACAGCUAAACGGGGCUGUUGGAGCAACAGACACAGCAAAAUCACCCUCUGAAGGGAGGGACCCAUGGCCCCUUGCUUGCCAAAGGCGCAGUGGGGCUGAGAACAGGCCGUGCUGAUUGCAACUACCAUCCAGUAUUAGAUGACCGUCGGUGAAGCCCACAGGUAUUUACUGCGUACCUCUGGGGUGCGAGGUCCUGUGAUGUGCAUUGUGGGGAAAUUGGAGAGGAAUUUGGCACGACAAGGAUGAACGGUUCACUGACUCCCUUUGACCUACUUGAGACUGAAAUGCGAAAUUAUCCACAUUUAUAAAUAUAUAUAUUACACAUAUUUGGUAUGUAUGUGUGUGUGUAUAUAUAUAUAUGUGUAAGUAUAUGAGGGACUUCUAAGAUUUUCUGGACUAUGGAAAAAACAAAUUUGCACAAUGGCCCGGGAAGUUGAGGUCACUUUCUACAGGGAAAUAGAAGGAACUGAGAACCUAGUCUCACACCUUCCGUUGCAAAUGGAUUCAGUCCUAGGAAUCCGGCGUGUCCUUUGUUCCAGUAUUAGGAGAAGUCCAAACUAUUCUUAUACAGGGAGAGGAUGACUUUCUCAAUGAAACGCCACCGGAAGAAAAUGACUGCAGAGGCUGGAACUGCCACGGGCUAAAUGAAAGGCCACUUUGGAAAGGGUUUGGAUGAGCCAGUGGCUUUGGACCUAUGCCUUCACCCAGCACUUUCUGCUAUCCCAGGAGGGCGGGGGUGGGGGGUGGGGCUUGGAGGCCCAGCCCACCCACUGGUCCAGCGAUCAUGACAUUCUGGACAUGACACAAGCCCAUUUUGAUUUCUGGCAAUGGCACUGUGUAUGUUUCCCCCACUAAAGAGCAUAUCACAAUCAGGAUGGCACCAAUAGCCAUGCUGUUCGGUAACUUUUCAGCCAGAAAAGGAAUCGCAAAAGGAUGGUGACUCACGGGGACUCCGUCUCAGGAGGCCCCACUUCAUGGCCUUCUUCGAUUGCCUUUGCAUGUAAAACGCUGUCUGGAGCCUUGUGCCAUCUGGAUUGGAGUACCUCUAUGUUAUGUGCAAUUUGUUCCUCAGGUGUAGAAAUUUCUACUGCGAUCGCCCCUUAUGUGAUCAUUUUGAGCCUGUGAAAGAUUUCUACGCAGUGAUUUCUGUUCCUAGCCCCUCGGGAGGUGUUCCCUGCUGACAGCAACAUCCGGUUGUACUCGUAACUUUUAUAGCAUCACUGUGCCUCGUCAUGGGGGACCGAGUGGGGCUGCGUGUAUGACCUAAAUCAUUCCUGAAGAGGGACAUUCUUCCAGAUGGAGUCACUAACAGUUUUUUUUUUUUCAGGUCCCCACACUUGCUAUCACAGUGUCACUGUUAAGUGGCAUUUUUGUCUUCAGUAACACCAUCAGCCUCUCCCUUCCAAAUCUGAGCUGUGCUGGGGUUUGAACUAAAAAGCCAUAUGGGGGAUGUUGACAUGUGUAAGAAGCACUUUCAGAAUGUCAUCCUUUUUAAGAAAAAAAUUCUCAAAAUACCAGUUUUUCUUCCAAAAAUAAAGAGAAUGAAGCCAAGAUUUGAAGUGUAGAUUGUAACAAGGAGCUUUUUUUUUUCAUAAUCCUGUAAGACAGCUCCCAAAGGUUAUGUGCGAUUUAUGUUGUGUAAAUAGUCAUGUGACAUCUGUAAGAAACACCAGAGACAGCUUAGAGAUUUGUGUCCAUGACCAAAGACUGAGCCAGGAAGGCCUCCCGUUUCUCAUAGGCCUUUCUAGCUCAGUCCGUGCAUCGUAAAGACUGACUGGGCUCCAGCUAGUCGAAAAGCACUUUCUUCUGUUUGCGAGGCUCGUCCCGUUUGUGCUUCUGUGCUUGGAGGAGACAUGGCCGGGGUGCUAGCACAUCACGGAGAUGGAAGUCAGUGCGCCCUCAGCCUGAAUUUCUUGGUUUGAAGGUCAAAAAGGAGCCUGGUUUAGAGUGUCGCUACCAAGAUACACACGUGCCCGUGCGCUCGCCCUGUGUAUUUAUACUGUACAUGUAGAGUCUAGAUUUAUAUACUGCAAUGUAAAAAAAUAUAUUUUCCUUUUUUAAAGACAAUGGAAAUUCCAAGUAGAUAAAACAUAGCCUCAUUUAUUUAAUGCCACUUUAAAUGUCUUAAAUGUGUUUCCUGGUGGACUGCCAGGCAGUGCUUUUAGCUGCUCGCAUGCUUGUCUUUCUGCAUCUCCAUCAUCUGUUGACCUUUUGGUUAAGCUAAUAAACUGGUUUGGGACUUGGUUGGCAUGUGCUGCCAGACCCAGAG